GAUGAACGCUGGCGGCGUGCCUAAUACAUGCCAGUCGAGCGAACGGACGAGAAGCUUGCUUCUCUGAUGUUAGCGGCGGACGGGUGAGUAACACGUGGAUAACCUACCUAUAAGACUGGGAUAACUUCGGGAAACCGGAGCUAAUACCGGAUAAUAUUUUGAACCGCAUGGUUCAAAAGUGAAAGACGGUCUUGCUGUCACUUAUAGAUGGAUCCGCGCUGCAUUAGCUAGUUGGUAAGGUAACGGCUUACCAAGGCAACGAUGCAUAGCCGACCUGAGAGGGUGAUCGGCCACACUGGAACUGAGACACGGUCCAGACUCCUACGGGAGGCAGCAGUAGGGAAUCUUCCGCAAUGGGCGAAAGCCUGACGGAGCAACGCCGCGUGAGUGAUGAAGGUCUUCGGAUCGUAAAACUCUGUUAUUAGGGAAGAACAUAUGUGUAGGUAACUGUGCACAUCUUGACGGUACCUAAUCAGAAAGCCACGGCUAACUACGUG
rnacentral:rRNA from 1 species